rnacentral:rRNA from 1 species
UACGUAGGGGGCAAGCGUUGUCCGGAUUUAUUGGGCGUAAAGAGCGUGUAGGCGGCCUGACAGGUCUGCUGUGAAAACUCGAGGCUCAACCUCGAGAUGUCGGCGGAAACCGUCUGGCUAGAGUCCGGAAGAGGAGAGUGGAAUUCCUGGUGUAGCGGUGAAAUGCGCAGAUAUCAGGAAGAACACCUAUGGCGAAGGCAGCUCUCUGGGACGGUACUGGACGCUGAGACGCGAAAGCGUGGGGAGCGAACAGG